GCAGAAGUGGCGAAACGGUAGACGCGCUGUCUUCAGGCGGCAGUAGGAAUUAUCCUGUGAGAGUUCAAAUCUCUUCUUCUGCACCA
rnacentral:tRNA from 1 species